CAAAUCCGGUUGUGAUUUGCGCCUCACGUCCACCAGCUCGCCAGACCACAAAAGUCGUGACGGGCACCGCCAGUAUUUCUAGUAAUUAACGAAGUGGCGACUUGGCCCUCGCCCUUGGUUCUUUUGGACACGGCAGCUCCAACCUGAUACCUAGCUAAUCCAGAGGACCUUCAUCACGGUUGCACCCAAUCGGUGCAACCUAAACAGGUUUUAAGAGAUGUCA